rnacentral:rRNA from 1 species
UACGUAGGCAGCGAGCGUUGUUCGGAGUUACUGGGCGUAAAGGGUGUGUAGGCGGUUGUUUUAAGUUUGGUGUGAAAUCUCCCGGCUCAACUGGGAGGGUGCGCCGAAUACUGAAUGACUUCGAGUACGGGAGAGGUGAGUGGAAUUCCUGGUGUAGCGGUGAAAUGCGCAGAUAUCAGGAAGAACACCCGUGGCUAAGGCGGCUCUCUAGUACGGUACUGACGCUGAGGCGCGAAAGCGUGGGGAGCGAACAGG